UACGUAGGGGGCAAGCGUUGUCCGGAUUUAUUGGGCGUAAAGAGCGUGUAAGCGGCUUUGCAAGUCCGUUGUGAAAACUCGAGGCUCAACCUCGAGACGCCGGUGGAAACUGCAAAGCUAGAGUCCGGAAGAGGAGAGUGGAAUUCCUGGUGUAGCGGUGAAAUGCGCAGAUAUCAGGAAGAACACCCGUGGCGAAGGCGGCUCUCUGGGACGGUACCGACGCUGAGACGCGAAAGCGUGGGGAGCGAACAGG
rnacentral:rRNA from 1 species